AACGAACGCUGGCGGCAUGCCUAACACAUGCAAGUCGAACGAGACCUUCGGGUCUAGUGGCGCACGGGUGCGUAACGCGUGGGAACCUGCCCUUAGGUUCGGAAUAACUCCCCGAAAGGGGUGCUAAUACCGGAUAAUGUCUUCGGACCAAAGAUUUAUCGCCUUUGGAUGGGCCCGCGUUGGAUUAGCUAGUUGGUAGGGUAAAAGCCUACCAAGGCGACGAUCCAUAGCUGGUCUGAGAGGAUGAUCAGCCACACUGGGACUGAGACACGGCCCAGACUCCUACGGGAGGCAGCAGUGGGGAAUAUGGGACAAUGGGCGAAAGCCUGAUCCAGCAAGGCCGCGGGAGUGAUGAAGGCCUUAGGGUUGUAAAGCUCUUUUACCCGGGAUGAUAAUGACAGUACCGGGAGAAUAAGCUCCGGCUAACUCCGG
rnacentral:rRNA from 1 species